rnacentral:lncRNA from 10 species
AUCCUGCGGCCGAACUUGGCAGUAAGAACACGUGUCGGUACCGGAGCGGUGGGGAGCAGUGGCGAGCAGGGCGGUCCUCGCAACCCGCCGGGGCUCUGGGAAGCUGGAGACCAACGCGGGCGGAGGAGCACGAGCCUGUUUGUUGCUAGAAAGGGGCUCCAAGUCCGCUGCAUGUUCGUGGCCUUCUUAAUUUCUUUUUCUGCUCGAGCAAAUAAAAGUUUCAUUUCUCUCCGGAGUAUUGAGCUAGAGAGCGGGGAAGAGCAUGCAGUAAAGUGAAUCCAGACUAGAAUCUGGGGAAGCCUCUCUCCAAGGUUGCAUCUCGGAGAAACAAGCCAUCAGAUUCUUGUCUAAACUUUGCCUCGUCUUAUUUAGUUUUCUAGUGAUUUUCUGCAAAAGGAAAUACCAGAUAGGCAAUCUAGUGGUUUACAUAGAUCUGAAUAAAAGCUUGAGGUUUUCCCUCUUGACCACUUUGGAGAAGAAAACUAGGUUAAGAUGACGAUUUUUGUAUGUCAGAAAAGAAGCCUGUAAUGUGCAUUAAGUUUGAGACUUUUUUUUAACACCUGGGAGUUUGAGAAGGCAAAUAGGGAAAAGAAAAAAAAUAGAAACUCAAGUUCAGGAAUAUUUUCUCGUGUGUGCAGAUUAUUACGUGAGGAAGAAAAAAGGGAUAACUCACAGACCUUAGCAAUUAAAAAUACUUAAUUUUUUUGUUGAAUGCCUAUUAAUCUGAUGGUUCCUGGUCAAUUUUGUAGGGCAGAACAUUAUGCAACUGUACACACUGAUUUAUUAGAGUGCUAUGAAUGUGGGCCACCAGACAGUUCGGUAUCAUGUUAUUUUAUUUUUUGAGACAAGAGUCUUGCUCUGUCACCCAAGCUGGAAUGCAGUGGCGCCAUCUCCUCUCACUGCAACCUCCGCCUCCUGGGUUCAAGUGAUUCUACUGUCUCAGCCUCCCGGGUAGGUGGGACCACAGGCGCCCGCCACCACUCCCUGCUAAUUUUUAUAUUUUUAGUAGAGACAGGGUUUCACCACGUUGGCCUGGCUGGUCUCAAACUCCUGACCGACCUCAAGUGAUCCACCCACCUCGGCCUCCCAAAGUGCUGGGAUUACAGGUGUGAGCCACCGUGCCCAGCCUUAAUAUCAUGUUAAAGAUAGACCUGUUCUUCAAAAAGACAAGUCAGAGUUCUCAUCUUUCUUCUUGUUUCCUAUGACACUGUUAAACUGAGAGGAAUGAGGACCCCAUUUGCUCAGUGGUGGGAGAAACACAAUUUCACUGGCCUUUUGUUGAUACAAAGAUAGGAAGAAGGCUCUUGAAGUGCUGUCUGUAUAUGUGUAUAAACACACAUAUAUCUUGUGACAUUAAAGUAACAAUGUUCUUUUUGAAAGCAUUUAGGGUAUAGCUAUAGAAGUUCAUUCAACAAAACAGAACUUUAUCAAGUUGGAAAGCUCCUUUCUCUUUAUCCCUAAAUUUUUCACUCAAUUUUGUUAUGGGUACAAACAGCACUGUGUUGAGGGUCAGAAUGGAGAGAGAUGAGAAAUGAUACUUCCAUGACUAUAUCCAAGAUCUCCACAGUUGGUUGUUGUAAGCGUAGAGAGGCUGUCUGUCAAAUCAUAGAUAUGAGGCCGGGCACAGUGGCUCACUCCUGUAAUCCCAGCACUUUGGGAGACUGAGGCAGGCGGAUCAUGAGAGGUGGGGAGUUCCAGAUCAGCCUGGCCAACGUGGUGAAAUCCUGUCUCUACUAAAAAUACAAAAUUAGCUGAGCAUGGUGGCGCGUGCCUGUAAUCCCAGCCACCUGGGAGGCUGAGGAGGCAGGAGAAUCACUUGAACCCUGGAAGCGGAGGUUGCAGUGAGCUGGGAUUGCGCCACUGCACUCCAGCCUGGGCGACAUAGUGAGACUCCAUCUCAAAAAAAAAAAGAAUCAUAGAAACGGACCCUAGUUUGGAAAUUCAUUCAUGUAAAUGAACUUCUCCCUGGUUUAUCCCCAGAGCUGUGAUUUAACACUAUUAUGCUGGGUUUACAGACCAAUUUGAACAUGCAUUUUCCUCUGCUUCUGCAUAGACUUACUAGAGAAGAGGUCACACCACUGCAUUCAGCCUGGGUGACAAAGCGAGACCUUAUCUCAAAAAAAAAAAAAAAAAUCAAAGAUCAAUCAACUAUAAAUUUAAUCUCUGUAAUAGAUAUAGGGCUAUUCAGGUUAUUUCUUCUUCAGUGAGUUUCAGUAGUUGGUGGGAAUUUGUCCAUUUCAUAUAAGUUGUCAAAUUUAUUGACAUACAGUUUUUGGUGAUAUUUGCUAUGGUCUGAAUAUCUCCCAAAAUUUGUAUGUUGAAACGUAAUUGCCAAUGUGGUAGUAAUAAGAGAUGGGGCUUUUAGGAGGUGAUAAAGUCACGAGGGUAGAGCCGUUAUGGAUGGAACUGGGGCCCUUACAAAGGGUUUGAGGGAAUGGGUUCAUUCUCAUCACCAUGUGAGCACACAGCGUUCAUCCCCCAUGCCCUUCCAUGUUCCGCCUUCUACCAUGUGGAGAUGUAUUAAUGACAAGAAGGACCUCACCAGACACUGAAUGCCAGCACCUUGAUCUUGGACUUCCCAGUCUCCAGAACUGUAAGAAAUAAAUUUCUGUUCUUUGUAAAUAACCCAGUCUAUUUUGUUAUAGCAGCAAGAAUGUGCUAAGAGAAUAUUCUUCUCUCAUGCUUUAAAUAACUUUAGAGUCUGUAGUGAGGUCACCUCUCAUUAUUGAUACUGAUAAUUUUUGUCUUCUCUCUUUUUUAAUGAUGAGUCAGGCUAAUGGUUUAUAAAUUAUAUUGGUCUUCUCAAAGAACCAGCUUUUGGUUUCACUGAUUUUCCUUAUUGUUUUCUAUUUUCUAUUUCAUUGGUUUCCAUUUUAAUUUAUAUUAUCUUUCUUCUGCUUAUUUUAGGUUGUAUUUACUGUUUUCUUUAUAGUUUCUUAAAGUGAAAGUUGACAUCAUUGAUUCGUGAUCUUUCUUCUCCUUUAAUAUGGGCAUUUUGUGCUAUAAAAUUAUUCCUAAUUACUGCUUCAGACCUUAAAUUAGGCAGGUGGAGAUGGUGGCUAUAGGGGAGUCUGUGUAAAGAAUUAGAAUGAGGAGAAUUUGAAGAAAAGCAGGUUAUUUGGCAAGCUGACAUAUAGUGAAAGGAGGUGCAGCACGGGAUAAUAAAGAUGGAGAAAGAAGGAGCCAGGCGAUAAAAGGUUUAGCUUGAGGGCAGUAAAAUAUCAGUGAAGUAGGUGAGUGUGGCAUGAUAAUAUUUGCAUUUUAUAAAGAUCACUCUGGGGGCCAUGUGGGAGCAGAUGUGACUAGAGUCAGAAAGACCAAAUAGAAGGUGGUCUCACACUAAUCUUUUCUUUUUUUUUUUUUUUUGAGACGUUGUCUCACUCUGUUAUCCAGGCUGGAGUGCAGUGACACCGUGUU